rnacentral:rRNA from 1 species
CCUACGGGAGGCAGCAGGAGGGAAUAUUGCUCAAUGGGGGAAACCCGGAAGCAGCAACGCCGCGUGGAGGAUGAAGGUUUUCGGAUGGUAAACUCCUUGUGGGAGAGAAGAGAAUGACGGUAGCUAACGAAUAAGCACCGGCUAACUCCGUGCCAGCAGCCGCGGUAAUACGGAGGGUGCAAGCGUUACUCGGAAUCACUGGGCGUAAAGAGCGCGGAGGCGGGCUAGCAAGUCAGAUUUGAAAUCCUCUGGCUUAACCAUAGAACUGCAUUUGAAACUGUUAUUCUAGAGUAUGGGAGAGGUAGUUUGAAUUCUUGGUGUAGUGGUCACCUCCGUCGCGAUCACG